UUGCUUGUUCGUUUUUGCCCGGUGUUUUUCUUUUUUCUUUCCCACUUUCUUUCUCUGGAUCUCGGUUCGUUUGACCUGAACCAG
rnacentral:ribozyme from 18 species